rnacentral:rRNA from 1 species
GACGAACGCUGGCGGCGUGCUUAACACAUGCAAGUCGAACGAAGUGGCGAACGGGUGAGUAACGCGUAAUCAACCUGCCCUUCAGAGGGGGAAAACAGUUGGAAACGACUGCUAAAACCGCAUACUGAAGGAGGGGAUUGGGUCUGAUUAGCUAGUCGGGGGGGUAACGGCCCACCAAGGCGAUGAUCAGUAGCCGGUCUGAGAGGAUGAACGGCCACAUUGGGACUGAGACACGGCCCAGACUCCUACGGGAGGCAGCAGUGGGGAAUCUUCGGCAAUGGACGAAAGUCUGACCGAGCAACGCCGCGUGAGUGAAGAAGGUUUUCGGAUCGUAAAGCUCUGUUGUUAGAGAAGCGGUAUCUAACCAGAAAGCCACGGCUAACUCCGUGCCAGCAGCCGCGGUAAUAC